rnacentral:rRNA from 1 species
ACACUCCUACGGGAGGCAGCAGUGGGGAAUAUUGGACAAUGGGCGCAAGCCUGAUCCAGCCAUGCCGCGUGAGUGAUGAAGGCCCUAGGGUUGUAAAGAUCUUUUGUGCGGGAAGAUAAUGACGGUACCGCAAGAAUAAGCCCCGGCUAACUUCGUGCCAGCAGCCGCGGUAAUACGAAGGGGGCUAGCGUUGCUCGGAAUCACUGGGCGUAAAGGGUGCGUAGGCGGGUCUUUAAGUCAGGGGUGAAAUCCUGGAGCUCAACUCCAGAACUGCCUUUGAUACUGAAGAUCUUGAGUUCGGGAGAGGUGAGUGGAACUGCGAGUGUAGAGGGGAAAUUCGUAGAUAUUCGCAAGAACACCAGUGGCGAAGGCGGCUCACUGGCCCGAUACUGACGCUGAGGCACGAAAGCGUGGGGAGCAAACAGGAUUAGAAACCCGGGUAGUCCCA